GCGAAUGUAGUUCAAUGGUAGAAUAUCAGCCUUCCAAGCUGACUAUGCGGGUUCGAUUCCCGUCAUUCGCU
rnacentral:tRNA from 1 species